AAGUAGGUGAGCUUCUCCAUCCCUGUCUGUCUAGAUGCAGAGAACCCAAAGCCCUGCAGGAUGGCAAAGCUGCAACAUGGAAGUCACCCGGAUCACCACGUAAAGGAAAUCUCUCCAACCAGGAACAAAUACCUGCCUUGCAAUAUUAGGUGGCCACCAGACUUUCUCUGCUUGUAUCCUCCCAGGACCACAGAACUCAUCGCAUCCCAAGGCAGCCUAUUCCAUCAUGGAUGAGCUCAAAGUGUUUGAAAGUUCUGCUUUAUCAAAACCCUUGAUGGCCUGCUUCCCA
rnacentral:lncRNA from 1 species